rnacentral:rRNA from 1 species
UGCCAUUAGCUGGCUGGUGGGGUAACGGCCCACCAGGGCGACGAUGGGUAGGGGGUCUGAGAGGACGAUCCCCCACACUGGUACUGAGACACGGACCAGACUCCUACGGGAGGCAGCAGUGAGGAAUAUUGGUCAAUGGGCGGAAGCCUGAACCAGCCAUGCCGCGUGCAGGAUGACGGCCCUACGGGUUGUAAACUGCUUUUCCCCGGGGCGAAUAACCCCCUCGCGAGGGGGGAUGCCGGUACCGGGGGAAUAAGGAUCGGCUAACUCCGUGCCAGCAGCCGCGGUAAUACGGAGGAUCCGAGCGUUAUCCGGAUUUACUGGGUUUAAAGGGUGCGUAGGCGGGUGGCUCAGUCGGCGGUGAAAUGCAGCGGCUCAACCGUUGCCCUGCCGUCGAAACUGGCCGCCUUGAAUUCGGUCGAGGCCGGCGGAAUGCGCGGUGUAGCGGUGAAAUGCUUAGAUAUCGCGCGGAACGCCGAUUGCGGAGGCAGCUGGCUGGACCGAGAUUGACGCUGAUGCACGACAGCGUGGGGAUCGAACAGGAUUAGAUACCCUGGUAGUCCACGCCGUAAACGACGAUGGCUGGGUGUUGGCGAUACACUGUCAGCGCCUGAGCGAAAGCAUAAGCC